CCAGGGAAACGCGGAUGCUUUCGAGAGCUCAUCUCAAAUGCGGUUCCGGGUUUAGAGUUAAACGAUUUCAUCCCGGUUGCCUUCUGCCUGGUUAGAGACCUCGGGCUUAUUCAGAAACUGCCGUCGGUCAGAGCUGUCACGUUUUGGUCCAGGCCUCUCGUGGUUCUGGGAGCACUUCCGGGAGAGUUGGACCGCGGCUCCUUUAAGAUGCACUUGACUCAGAAUUGCUGUUUUCCCAGGUGACCUCCUUGCUAGGCACUCCUAAAUAGUGCUCUGGUUGGAAGAUUCCCGAAGUCACUGCAGAACUGUUCAGCGCACCCCUGGCUAGGCGUUUCUGAGCAAGCAGCUGCUGGCGGACUUUCAUCACUACGGUACUGCUGAGAAGAAGCGUGUGCCUGAGUAGAGUAAGGGUGAGAAGAGACAUUUUCAAGCAGUUGUGGGGGCAGGAGUGUAAUCUCCUCCAUUAGCCAAGCCGUCCGACACACUGCCAUGCUCCACCUGGAAGUGGCUAUCCCACUUGGGGAACUAAACAAAGGCUCUCUGUGGACUGUCACCUCUCUUGAAGCAGCAGCUUAUUUAAGUCCACCCACAGGCAGAAGGCUUGCUGAGACGUGGCACCAGAGAUUUACUGCAAUGUUUACGUUAUGCAAAUAUCAUGGAACCUAGAGACUUGCUUUCAUUUCUGUACUUUGUAUAUAUAUACCUGAUUCCCUCAGUAAAGUUUGAACCUUGAUCAGA